ensembl:snoRNA
AACCCCUGACAAUGGGCAAAGAAACACCUUGUGGAGGUGUUGUUUUUAUAUCAGCCAGAGGCAGAGCAGAUGGCAGUCCUUUGUUCAUCCUAGUUUUGAUGCCUGACUUGGUAGCCAAAGCUGUUUCAUGCCUAGGGUACAUAA